rnacentral:rRNA from 1 species
AUGGUUCGAAAUUGAAAGGCGGCUUCGGCUGUCACUUAUGGAUGGACCCGCGUCGCAUUAGCUAGUUGGGUGAGGUAUCGGCUCACCAAGGCAAUGAUGCGUAGCCGACCUGAGAGGGUGAUCGGCCACACUGGGACUGAGACACGGCCCAGACUCCUACGGGAGGCAGCAGUAGGGAAUCUUCCGCAAUGGACGAAAGUCUGACGGAGCAACGCCGCGUGAGUGAUGAAGGCUUUCGGGUCGUAAAACUCUGUUGUUAGGGAAGAACAAGUGCUAGUUGAAUAAGCUGGCACCUUGACGGUACCUAACCAGAAAGGCCACGGCUAACUACGUGCCAGCAGCCGCGGUAAUACGUAGGUGGCAAGCGUUAUCCGGAAUUAUUGGGCGUAAAGCGCGCGCAGGUGGUUUCUUAAGUCUGAUGUGAAAGCCCACGGCUCAACCGUGGAGGGUCAUUGGAAACUGGGAGACUUGAGUGCAGAAGAGGAAAGUGGAAUUCCAUGUGUAGCGGUGAAAUGCGUAGAGAUAUGGAGGAACACCAGUGGCGAAGGCGACUUUCUGGUCUGUAACUGACACUGAGGCGCGAAAGCGUGGGGAGCAAACAGGAUUAGAU